UGCUUUGCAGGUCUAUAGCAUAGCUAUCUCUGCCUGAGGUACUCAUGCUGGGAUCUCCUUAUAGAUAAAAAGGAGAUUGGAAACAGGCAUGUGAGGAAUGACUGCUUCUGGACCAAAAAGCCUGAUAUUUCGUUGUCACAUUUAUGGUGAAUCGCUCAUUCCUUAAAGUAUUCUGUUCCUGGAAAAAAUAAUUUACUAUCUAUGACUUUUUUGACCUCUCUGGUCCGAAAAAAUGUUUGUAGAAUAAAUCUGCUUCCGAAUCCUCAUCUAAUCUGAUAUGAUGGAUAUACUACCAUGCUACAUGACCUAGCACUUUGUUGAAUACACAGUUACAAAACUUGGAUUGCUCAUUGCAUAACAGGAAUGAUCUGGCUCCCUUCUUGUUUACACAAAACAUUGUCUGUGAUAGCUUCUGUGGGUUUCUUUUCAUGGCAGUUCAAAAUGUUAUGUAGGCUGACCGACCUUCUUGAAACCGUAGUAUGUUUAUGUACGGAGACAAUUUCUGUUCUGUGACAUUUACUUUUGAUGAUGCUGGGAGUUUCCCAUCCUUGAUUUAAUGUAUCCUUCACUAGAGGUGGUUGUGGAGGAGCAAGUGGGAAUGCUUUGCGUGUGUAAGAUGGAUAUUUUUUCAUCAGAGAAGGGGAGGGGCCUGUUGAGGAUAUCUGUUUCAUGUUUGUGGAGUGUGAUUGGGUUGUAAGCAGAUUUUAUCAAGCCCCUAAGACAGCAGAAGUGAAGGCUGGAUCGUAAGUGAUGUAGAUGAAUGAUACCAUGUUCUGAGUUUUCUCAAUCUGACCCUUCUAUGGAAAGCUAAUUAUCUUGCAACACCAGUUGCUUCAUAAAAGAGCUUCAUAAGGAGAGUUACGGUUGGUUUAAAGCUGCUGAUGUGACUUGCAAUCUGCUUAUUGGCAACAACCUGAUACUUGAAGAAAUGAAAGGAAGAAAAUGCUAACCCUUGUGAAAUCACUGCUUUUUCUAAUACUGUCGAUAGUAUUGCCUCCUCUAGUGAUCUCAAUUUUGUAAUCUCACCUUGUGCUUCAGUUCUUCAAGAAGUCACCGACCAAAGACAAGACCUAAACCAGGCUGUACGUAGUCUUCUGACCUCUCUCCCAUGGCCUCACAGCACCUGAGCCGACACAUCCAGCUGGCAGUGACCUUCCUCCUGUGGAGAUUCUGGGUCACUGUGGGUUAUACCAGGCCUGUCAAGUGGCACGGUCCCCGGCCUCGGUGCUUGCGGCCCUGCUCUAAAACUGCUGAUUCGCACAAGGGAAUUCCACUGCUGUUACAGUCUGCUUCAGCUGCCUCCAGAUGUCCGCCUGUGUUGGCAAGGCACUCCCCCAUCUUCACGGAGCAGCAAGCCCCAGCCAAAACACCUUCACGGCUCUGCAGCAAAAGUUACAUUCAUCUCGGCAACUGGUGUAAAUCAUCAUUUGGCCUGGAUCCAUGUUUCAUACCUAUGAAAGGCCAAUGACAGAAAUCCAGAGCAUCCAAAACUCCGUCAGAGUGACUGAGUCUACGGGCUAAGACGACAUUGAUGUGAAAAGCAGAGGUGUUAUUUUCCCCACGACGCGCUGUGAAAGUGUGCACAUGGUAGCAAAGUUCCCCCCGAAAAUACAAAGGCACUGCAGAAGCGACAACUGGAGUGUGAGUCUGCAGAGCGGACAGUCAAUCCCGAGCUGACCUGACACACACACACCAAUAGCCUCAGAUAGCUAUGCAGUUAGCGUUUGUUUUCUAUACGGUGCUUUCCAUAUUCUUGCAUCUUCAGAUGGGUACAGUACGGUCAUCACUUCCUGCCCUAAGAAGUCAUCUACUGUUGCUUUAUUCUAUUUGUAAACAGAAAAAAUUGGUGGCUGUGUUUCAUUCCACCUAUCAGAUGAAGUUACUUCUGUAUUUUCUGUAUUUGCCUGAUUAUCAGUAAAUUUGCAGAGUGCCGUGAGCUGGCAGGCAUUUGGGACGCAUCUCAUUUUACAGGGACUGUACUGCACACUUCAAGGGAGCUUGUAAAAUCCCAGUAGUGGAUAUCAGUAUAAUGACAAAAAUUUUAUCAUUUUUAGUACAAUGGCAUACCCAUGAAAGAGGUUUCUACUAGGCACAGAUGGUGGGCUGAUGUCCCGAAGUAAAACAAAUUACAUACAUUUUAUGCCAACAAAAAUAAAAUUAUGAUUACCCUA